rnacentral:misc_RNA from 1 species
GGUCGUACAUAAACGAUAUCUGAAAUGUCUGUUCCUUUUGAAAUAAUUUACUGUUUUUAUGUUUUGAUUUUCACAACAGAAUGAUGCGUAUGACAAAACAACACCUGGUUGCAUAGUCAAGUUGAAGUGUAAAUAAAGCUCAACUUUUUUAGAACUUAUUCGGUAUUAUCAAUUUUCGUUUCUUUUAUUCGCUCUAUAGUGUAUUGCUUCGUCUUAAGAUUGAACCUUUCCAAUUACCGAGUUCAUCACCUCUACAUUUAUUGUAAAAAAGUAAUUGUACUGCAAUCUCUGACAAGCCAUCAUGACAUACUGACCUUUCAAUUACAUCCAAAAUUCCCUUUAGCUUGUCUUUGUUUGCUUCUUAAUGGAUGAUUUGAUCUACAAAAGAAAACGAAUCAUUAUUGGUAAAUUAAAUAAACAUCAGCAGCAUUCACGGAGCAAUUAAGAUACACACUGCCAACGUCAAUUACAAUAGAUUAAUGUCAAUUGCCUUUCUUUAGAGUCUUUUUUUGUUUGCCAGUUAUGAACAGUAGCUCACGGAUUAGAAAGUUCAAAAAUCAAUUAUUACGCUUUCUCUUGAUGUAUCUUAAUUCUUCUGAGAGAUUGCUUUUAGUCCAGUAAAGACAUUUACAUCACUGUAGUAAAACAAGUCAAAUCACUUAAAAAACUAGUAUCUGUCCUCUUCUUCGAUAUUUUUACCUGGUCGACGGCUGCUUAGUGCUAGACCGUGUUAAAACCGAUUGUCUCAUUUUCGAUUAAACAUAGUCUGGUAUUAUAGAUCAGUUGAUUAAAACAUUUGUUAGCUUUCAAAGUAGAUCGUUGAAUUGAAGGAUUUUACUCAACACCAAAAAUCAUACACCAAAUUUUUUUAUCCUCCUUUAGACAAUGCUAUUACCACAAAAGAACGGGAUGAAUGGGAUCAUUUGCUUCUAGACACUAAAUUUAAGUAGCCGAUAAAAGACGGCUUAACAUCCGAGCUUUCGGAUGUUCAUUUUCACACGAUGAUUUUGGGUUAUCUAUUUAUACCCAAUUUGUAUAUCUGACAUGUGCUUGUUUAUCGGUUGGAAAUAUCUGUCUUUACAGAUAAU